CCUUAGGUUCGGUUUUGUAUUAGAAGCUCACAACUCCCACAUUUUAUGACGCACACUCCUCUACUUACAAACUUCUCUCAUCACUCCCUCCCUCACUACUAGCUCACUCAGUUCAUUCUGACAAACUAUGGUACAGUCAAAGAAGUUCAGAGGUGUCAGGCAACGCCACUGGGGCUCCUGGGUUUCUGAGAUUCGUCAUCCCUUACUGAAAAGGAGGGUGUGGCUUGGGACAUUUGAGAGUGCAGAAGAGGCAGCACGAGCCUACGACGAGGCUGCGAUUCUGAUGAGCGGUCGAAAUGCCAAAAACAAACUUUCCAGUCACUACCAGUGAAAUUGCUGCUUCUAAUAAGGAUCCUGCUAUCAACAACAACAGCAACUCCAGUAGCUCUACUUCUAAUUCACUUUCUGCGAUCCUCAGCGCCAAGCUUCGCAAGUGUUGCAAGUCUCCCUCUCCUUCCCUCACUUGCCUCAGGCUCGACACAGAGAAUUCCCACAUCGGCGUUUGGCAAAAACGCGCCGGGCCACGUUCAGAUUCAAAUUGGUUGAUGAUGGUGGAGCUGGGACAGAAGACUGCAGGUUUAAAAGGGGAGAAGGAGGAGAGUACUAGUACUAGCGCCCCUGAAGUGUCCGAUGGCCAGGAAAUGGAAGGAUUAUUAGACAGUGGGUAUGACAGACUACUCGAAGAGGAAAAGAUUGCAUUGCAGAUGAUAGAGGAACUUCUCAAUAGAAACUAAUCACUUGGUAUAUAUAUUUGAUCGAGUUCCGAUCGAUAUAGAUAUGAAGGUAAAUGUUCUCCAUCCCUCGAGCAAUAUAGGAGUCUGAGUCAAGUAUCAACAUCACAUGGAGGUUGUUCAUACCACCAAAUUAUUGUAUGAGGAAUUUCCAUGUGCUUAGUCUUAUCGAUGCCUUGUCU